UUCUGACCCUUUGGCCUCACAUCCAGUAGCAGUGUUUUACUUAAUGCUCUACAUAUAUUUUAUCUUCCAGCACAUGCAGUUAACUCCCCAAAGAACAGGAGCUUCCUGGCACCUGGGAGAAAAGAUCCUCCUAGAAGGAAGCCUGCUGUCACCUGGCAAUACAGACCAUCACAGACAGUGAAACAGUAACGCUGACAGCAGAUGUACAAACACUGAAAAUGCUAAACCAGUCACGCAACUCGGUGAGGACCCACAGCCCACAACCUGGAAGAAACUGAGUGGUCUGGAAUAAAUCAGCCUUGAAUAAGUAUGAAUUACAGUGAAAUGGAAAAUGUGAUCCCCCGCACUGAUACUCUACUUCCUCUGGCUCACAGAUGCCAGAUAUAUCACGACUGUGUCACUAGGAUAUUUGGGAAGGGGAAGAAUAGAGCUGGGAUGAAAAUGAAAAAAGAAGAGAGUUGUAGAAAAAGGAAGACAUCAGUGGAGAAGUCAAGACAGGGGAAAGAAAAUGAACAGGAGGAGAAAAAAAUAGGAAAGAAUCAAGAAUCCCAUCAUCCUAAAUCAAGAAUCCCAUCAUCCUAACAGUGGUAAGAAAGGAUCUGUAAUAUUAACUGUAAUUUGUAGGGCUGGGUGCACAUUUUUCUCAUUAAGCUGUAAAGCAGGAUGACUGAGUAAAUCUUUUGCAAAAAAGCAAGAUUGCCACCACAGAUGGGUAAAAUGAUUUUCUCUUUUUCUUUUAAAUCCCCAGUUUUAAGUGUGUCUAUAUACUCCUUGGGGCUUGGAUAAGUGUGGUCAUUGGUGAGGAGGGAGCAGAGAGGGAUGUGGGGAGGUGCAAGGGAAGCAGUUUCUUCAGUCCUUUAAAAACUCAGGAACUGCAGUUCUCCCAGGUGAGUUUCGCUCAACUUGUUGCAAUUUAAGUGGGGAAAAUCCUUAAAACGUGUGUUCUACCACUGGUUUGAAACCAGCCCUUUGGUCUCCCAAGUGGCAAGGAAUCUGUCAAAAGGGUGGGUUCCGUGAUUCACAAUUUCAAAAGAAGGCGACUAAUAAAAAUCUCAGCCAAGCAAUUUGUAAGAUUGGAGUGAUGACAGGAAUCCAGGAAGCAGCGGAAAAACAACCCAACUAGAAUGCCGUGAAACAGCCUGAAGUAACUCGGUGGAAGGAAUCCCAGAGGAAAGGAGUCUUCUGAUAUUAGGGCAGCACGGAGGGUUUAGGAAGCCAGUCUUAUCUUAAAAAGCUGCAUUAGAAGGAACAAUCUAAGUCUUAAGAACACUUAGGAAGCAGGUUUGUGGGGUCUUGUUUUGCAUUUUGGAUAAUUAGCUAGCUUGAGUGGAUUUAAUGUGGGAUUCAAACAAUAAUGAGAAGGGGAGACUCCCUGAAUUUACCUUAAAAUGGCUUCUAUUACUCUCACCAAAUCAGGCAAGAUCUGCAAGAUCUCACCAAAUCAGGCAAGCAUUGUUAAAAUGCAUAAAGGCUUGAUUCUGCAUGUAUGCAUGUAUACACCUUUUGAAAUUUCCCUCCAUCAACUAAAAAGUUUAAUUACACUCAGUUUAUUUCAAUGAUACAAGGAAGCUCUAGUCAUCUUGCUUCGGUUUGUAUUAUCCUAACAAAUUUGGGGUAUUAUAAUAUGGUUUUCCUUAGUUGCAAAAGAAAAAGCAUUUUUUUCCCUUUGAUGUUUUGAACCCUAUAUGUUACUAAUGUUUGUACGGUUUGGAUCAAGGCUCCCUUAAUUAGUUCAAAAAGUACUUUUCAAAAAGUAGAAAAGACUAGAGGGAAACUGAUUAGCUUUGGUAGAUGACUGUAAAUCUCUGGGUGCUCAGUAAGUGCUUUGGUCAAUGAGAUGAUAAAUCAGUUUCAUCUCAAUUUUCUCUUGCAUGAGUGAAUGAUCUUUUAUGAUAAUUUGCAGAUAUAUAGCCCUUUUAUCCCAGGAGUUUAGAGUGCUACAUACAGAUAACCUGAAUGUAUUGUGGAGGGGUAAAAGAAAGCUGGGAAAAGCACAAUUUGUGGAUUGCUGCAAGCAGGGCUGUUUACCCUCACCCCAUAUCCUAGGGGCCUCUGCACCUCUUGGGGGGCAGGUCUUAGUAGUCACAUUAGCAUUUAUUUUUGUGUGUAAAGCUCUGGAAAAGAAGAACACAAAUGAGAUAUGGAUGGGGUCCCCAUGAGGCUCACAAUCUAACAGACCAGGGGGUUGGUGACAGACACAUAAGGAAAGAUGAAACAGAAAUAUAAAAGAUACACACAAAAGGAAGCAGCAGCAUUUCAGGCUCCUCACAGCUGGGACCAAUGUGGAUGCUACUGCCACAUAAGGGAAGGGUGGAAGCCAUGGUAUGUCUGAGCUCAAGCCACCAGCGAACUCAUGCUUCCCCCCACUGCCAUAUCAGUUGGAGACCCAUUCUCCAGGCAGGGUAGGUCCCCAUGGGGGCUGAGCCCAGGCUUUUCAGGGUCCUGCCAGGCAGGACAUGAGGUUGGUUCUCAUUAACAAAUUAAUUAUGGUAUUUUUUAAGCGCUUACUAUGUGCCAGGUACUGUGCUAGGUGGAUACAAGAAAGUUGGGUUGGACAGUUCCUGUCCCACGUGGGGCUCACAGUCUCAAUCCCCAUUUGACAGAUGAGCUGAGGCCCAGAGAAGUGAAGCGACUUGUCCAAGGUCACACGGUAGACAAGUGGCAGAGCUGGGAUUAGAACCCAUGACCUUCUGACUCCCAGGCCCGUGCUCUACCCACUAUACCUUGCUGCUUCUGCUCAUAAUCUAGUGCUUAGAAGUACAGUGCCUGGCACAUAGUAUGCCUGGCACAUAGUAAGUGCUUAACAAAUACCGUAAAACAUUGCAUACCCAACCCUCCUGGCGGGGGUGAGAAGUUGGGGCUCAGCAGGUUUACCCAGCUAACAUAAAGACAACUAUCCUUUUUUCUAUUUUUUCUCUGCUUUUUGCACCCCUGCCUCUCUGGCCCCAAUCCUUUUCUCUUUUCAAUCAAUCGUAUUUAUUGAGUUCUCUGUGCAGAGCACUAAAUACUUGGGAGAGUGCAAUAUAACAGAGUCGGUAGACACGUUCGCUGCCCACAACGAGCCUCUCUAAUACUUCCCCAAGACUCUCUUACCUGUCUUCUCAGUAAUAAUAAUAAUAGUAUUUUUUAUAUUAUAAUGUUGAUAUUUGUUAAGCACUUACUAUGUGCAGAGCACUGUUCUAAGCGCUGGGGUAGAUACAGGCUAAUCAGGUUGUCCCACAUGAGGCUUACAGUUAAUCCCCAUUUUAUAGAUGAGGUAACUGAGGCACAGAGAAGUGAAGUGACUUGCCCACAGUCACACAGCUGACAAGUGGCAGAUCCGGGAUUCGAACCCAUGACCUCUGACUCCCAAGCCUGGGCUCUUUCCAGUGAGCCACGCUGCUUCUCUAGUGAGCCACACUGCUUCUAUUAAGCACUGGGGUAAAUACAGGAUAGUCCGGUCAGAUGCAAUGCGUGUCCUAUCUAGACUAUGGACUUUAAUUCCCAUUUUACGGAUACAUAUAUAUGUGUAAUUCAGAUCAAAAACAAUCUUCCUGAAUCCCAGACCUGACUAGAGUUGAUCAGCCUCAGAGUUCCAGACGGUUUCCACUUGCAGUUCCUCUGGCGACAAGCCUCGUCCCUGAUUGCCGCCAGCAUGGCUCAGCCACAGCUUCUCCAGGCUUCCCCUGCCCUGGGGUCUUGGCUUUCUUGUCUGCUGACCAGGAGGCCAAAGACACCAACUUCCCAUCUGCUCCUCUGCUUGUCCCUCUCCAGCCUCUCUGAUGUUAUAUGCCUGGGCCUGUUUCCACAGAUUUCCGUUCCCGAUUGGCCCCGGGCUCCAUUCAAGUAAGAGCCAAUGGGGAAAGUCCUCCAGCGCUUUGCCGUUUGCCUGCCAGCUACCUGGGUAGGCAGCGACUGGGCACUUAGUCACGUCAAUCCGCUCCUGGCAAGAACCUCGGAACCUAUUUUUCUCUUCAGUAGCUGGUGUUUUUCACUCUUUAUAUGGGUGAUUCUCCCUUCCCUGGACAAGAGAAAAAAAAAUCAAUCCUUUUGAAAAUUGCAUUUUAAAACUCUGAGCCUUAUUUUCAGACCCAGCAGAAAAACCACUUAUCAUUUCCGGGACUAAAGAGCAAUCAUUUGGCUCAACUGUCCCCAUUGUCUUCAUCCUAACUCAUCCUGACUCAUUGGGAGUCA
rnacentral:lncRNA from 1 species